rnacentral:lncRNA from 1 species
GUUACAGAGACAAAGUUUGGAGCUAAGACGAAAGGAUGGACCAUCCAGAGACUACCCCACUGGGGGAUCCAUACCAUAAUCAGCCACCAAACCCAGACACUAUUGCAUAUACCUGCAAGAUUUUGCUGAAAGGACUCUGAUAUAGCUGUCUUGUGUGAGGCUAUGCCAGUGCCUGGCAAAUACAGAAAUGGAUGCUCACAGGGCCCCCAAUGGAGGAGCUAGAAAAAGUACCCAAGGAGCUGAAGGGGUCUGCAACCCUAUAGGUGGAACAACAAUAUGAACUAACCAGUACCCCCAGAGUUCGUGUCUCUAGCUGCAUAUGUAGCAGAAGAUGGCCUAGUUGGCCAUCAUCGGAAGAGAGGCCCCCUGGUCUUGCAAACUUUAUAUGCCCCAGUACAGGGGAACGCCAGGGCCAAGAAGUGGGAGUGAGUGGGUAGAGGAGCAGGGUGGGGGAGGGUAUAGGGAACUUUAGGGAUAGCAUUUGAAAUGUAAAUAAAAUAUCUAAUAAAAAAUGUGGCAUCUUGGCUUUGGUUGAGUGUCUUCAAACAUCACUUCUCAGAACCCCUUUUAGUACAGGCAUGGGAACACUCCACCCACUUGAAAGCGCUCUUUGCACUCACUGUUGAAAUAUGAACCUACAGCUUCAUGUGCGUGUGCAGUCACAGCAGCCCUUUGGGGCAGAACUUGACAGAUGACCCUGAGAUGCGAAGGUUAAGUGACUCACUCAAGACUUCAGUGCUGUGACCUGAACCCAGCUGGCUGUUGCCUUCACUGUGGCAUUACACGCCUCUUCCAUCACUCUGCUGGCUUUAAUGGAGAAGUGAUGUCAGGCUUUAAAAUUUUUCUGUCCCUUAUAGUCAUUGCUGAAAGAAUCCUGAACUCAAUCCAGAAGGUUCUUUUCCCAAGUGUAAGAGGAGGGCAGUGGGCUGCUCCAUGCAGCAUCCAUAAUAUCUUGGUUCUUUCUGUCCUUCCCCUUCAUCCCCUCUGUCCUCCCCCACUCCCUCUGUUGCUAAGUUUUGUCUCUUUCCUUCUAGUUCAUUGGCUUCAGUCUUAGGGAUGAGAUGAUGUUGUGACCUCAGCACUGACACAUGAUCUGACCUUGUCAGGAGUAGUGGCUAGACUAAGUGUCUCUGAAUCCGCAAGGUUGGAGUAGGGAGUAAAAUGCUGACUGGUAAGCAUCCAAAUGGAAAAGUCCAUUGCUCCAGUGAGGAAUUGGAUGGCCUAGGAUGGGAGGCAAUGCAGAAACACACACAGGAAGUAAGCCACCUUGAAAACUGCAGCAAAGGGAGAGCUCUCAUUAAGGACACAGACACCACAUUUAUAGUGAAAAGGUUGGUUUUUGUUUUAUAUAUAUAUAUAUAUAUAUAUAUAUAUAUAUAUAUAUAUAUAUAUAUAUAUUCUCUUGGGGAGUGAAUCUUGCUCAGAAUAUGACAGCUGCUAUAAGCAUUGGGUCAGCAAUGCUCGAUACAGUUUCCUCACUUCUAGACAAGUCACUUCCAAUUAAGCAUCUAACAACGGCUUUUCCACAUAAAAAUCUUAGCCACCUGUAAGACAGCAGCAGAGGUUUAUUUUCUUCACGUCAGUCUGUGGUAUUCAUUAUCAGUUAAAGGUCCCUUUCUGGUUUUCUGCUGUGUCACCCUGUGGUCUUGUGAGAGGGUGCUUGCAGGAGUCUUCCUUUCUGCGGAACGGAGCCACUGCCUCCCGCCCACUGUAACACAGGUUUCAGGUUUUGUUUGUUUGACUUUUCUUUCGACAAGAGGACCUUUCAUGGCUUGCAGGAAAACACUUGCUGAUCACUUUAGUUGAACAAAGUGCUUAGAUACCAGAAGGCACUGGGAAGAUAAAGAUGACAGAGACAACAGUUCUGCCCUUUAAGGGCUUAGAGCCAGAAGCAGGUGGGCAAUCGUCUGCGUUUAGUACACCGGGGUUUUCACAGCUGUAAAAGCACUGAGGGGUGGAGCACCAUGCCAGAGAUCAAGGGAAGGCUUUCAAAGCCAGAUCUGGAGAGAGGAGAGGCAAUGGAGCAUGUGUGUAGCUAAGCAAGAAGACAUCCCCGGCCAGGAGUGGCCUGGAUGCACAUGGGUGGAUCCCAAGUGCAGGAGAUGUUAGCCAGCAGGGCAUAGUAAUGGAGGAGGGAGGCUGGAACUAGGGGGCUGGGUAGGGGAAGGGAUUGUGCUCCUUCAUUCUUUCCUAGGCUCCUUGUUAGCCAGGAAGGCUCAAGGGAGCUUUAUCACAUGAAGAAUGGACUGAAUUUUCCCCCUUCCCCUAUCAAGCUGGUUGUCCCAGCACUGUUUAUUACAAGUGCUAGCUUUGCCCCAUGGAGUUGGCAUCAUGGGGUUUCCAUCUUCCUGUGUCUCUGGCUCCGUUUUAGGACUUUACCUUUUCUGUAGUGAUCUGGUUGGCUACUAGGUGUUACAGCGACGCUGUAUUGUGCUUUGGUUGGGCUGGUUCUCUUCAGGGCUUCUCUUUUGAUGUUUUCUUAAUUAUUUUUGUGUAUUUUUUACUUACUUAAAAUUUUAUGUGUGUAGGUAUUUUAACUGCUUGUAUGUCAGGGCACCUAGUAUAUGCCUGAUACUUAUGGAGGCCCCAAGAGGUUGCUGGAUGCCCUGGAAUUGGAGUUACCAAUGUUUGUGAGCUACCAUGUGGUUGCUGGUAAUCAAACACUGGUCCUUUGGAAGAACAGUAAAUAUUCUUAACCUCUAAGCCAUCUAUCCUUCUUGUCUGUCGGCCAGUCUGUCUGUCUGUCUGUCUGUCUGUCUGUCUAUCUAUAGACAGGAUUUCAUGUAUCCCAGGCUGAGUUCAAAUUGGCUGUGUAGCCAAAGAUGACUUUGAACUUCGGAUUCUCCAGCCUUUCUCUCCUUAGUACUGGAACUAUAAGUAUGUGCCAGUUCUAUGUGAUGAUACUGGGGACUCUUCAUGCCUGCUAGGCAAACACUACCCAGGGUCACCUUUUAUCAUUAAAUUCUUGAUUUAAUUCUUGAUACCCUGAGGGUAUGAGGGUAGGGUGUUUGGAAAGCGAUGGGUCUCUAGGUUGCUGCCUCCUCUGUGAUGUGAACAUGGCCGCAGCAAUGCAGAUGAUAAGGUGUCUCACAUCUUUCAAGUGUGUUGGACCUCAGAGGAACAGUUGCUAGCCCACACUCUCACUGUAGAAUAAACUGAAUCAAAUCUAACUCUCACAGGGAGAAGCAGUGACUUAAGAAUACCUAUAUUUACAGUAUUUUGGUGGCUUAGGAUGUUACGCUGUUCAGAAUGAAAUGUUUGGGUGUCCUUUUAAGAAACUUCUUAAAGGUAAGUGAGAUCACGGGGUGGCUACACGAUACAGAUUAACAGGCUGAUAAGGCUUCAGGCACAAGUCACAAAGUGAAAGGUGUCCUUAGCACAGAUCCAAUAGGUGAUCAAGAUGUGUGCUCUGACUCUAACGCGGUUCAGAAUCUGUUGUUGAGAUUCUCUCAAUGCUCAGCCUGCUGUGCUGGGCCUUGCUGCCCUUCCUGUGCCCCAUGUCCUCUCUGUCUGUGUGCUCUAUCACAAGGUGAUGUUGUCUUCCAGGGUAGCAGGGACAUAGAGCAUCAUCUUCAUCCUUACUGGUGUCUGCCAACUGUUUGCUCCAUUCCACUUCUUGAAACCAUUCAGCACACACAUGACUUUCUUGAACCCCAAAUACUUGUGCUAAUGUGCUUUUGCAUGUGAGUUAGGAGAGAGUAAGUUAUUUUCCAAAUGAGAACAGGAUUCACAUACAUUAUGCUAGCCACGAAUUACUCUCCUGAUACAAGAAUUCUGAGGAAUGUAAGUGUGGUGAGAAUUCAUGCCUCUGGGUUCACUUCUGGAGGUUUUUGUAGCACUGUAGGAUAACAUCACUGGAGAUCCACGUGCCUGACCAAUGAAUGCGUGCCAUUUUGUGUUCUUGUUUGAUGAGUAGUUCAUAUCCUUUUAUGUACAAUUUCCUCAAUUAUAACUGUGAUGUAGUUAAAGAGAAGGAAAGGAAUGAAAAUACUUUGAAAUUUUCUGUUCUUUUUUUUAAAUUGUAGAGAUGUCCUCAUGAACAUUUUCCAUCAAUAUUUUUUGCAGUGUAUGUGUGAUAUGAUUGAAGCAUACUAUAUAUGUGAAUAAAAAUAUUGGAAAGAAACCCA